UACGAACCGGACAAACGUUAUUCGGAAUUAUUGGGCUUAAAGAGUGCGUAGGCGGCGCUGUAAGUCGGGUGUGAAAUCCCUCGGCUCAACCGAGGAAUUGCGCCCGAUACUGCAGUGCUUGAGGGAGACAGGGGUAAGCGGAACUGAUGGUGGAGCGGUGAAAUGCGUUGAUAUCAUCAGGAACACCGGUGGCGAAAGCGGCUUACUGGGUCUCUUCUGACGCUGAGGCACGAAAGCUAGGGUAGCGAACGGG
rnacentral:misc_RNA from 1 species